rnacentral:RNase_P_RNA from 1 species
CGCUGGUUUUCCCUUCAUGAGAAGACGAGAGGAAAGUCCGGGCAACACAGGACAAUCCGCUACCUAACGGGUAGGAGCCAGUGAUGGUUGGUCAGUGCAGAAGAAAAUAACCGCCUGCGUAAUGCAGGUAAGGGUGAGAAGGUGGAGUAAGAGACUACCAGGCGUGUGGUGACAUGCGUGCUGUGCACUCCGGAUGUUGAAAGUUCGCGUAUACCGGCAAUGUUUUCGCUGCAGAAGCGGGAACGGGAGGGCUGUCCGUCCGAGCCGGAGGGUAGAACGAUAGAGGCCGGUGGUGACACCGGCAGUGGAUAAAUGACAGACGACGGAGAUGGAGGUAUUAUGGACUGAAACUGUCCGUGCACAGAACCCGGCUUAUAG